rnacentral:rRNA from 1 species
ACACGACUACAUUAGACUACCGGGUAGUCCUGCCGUAAACGAUACUCGCUAGGUGUCGGCCACGGUGCGACCGUUGUCGGUGCCGUAGGGAAGCCGUGAAGCGAGCCACCUGGGAAGUACGGCCGCAAGGCUGAAACUUAAAGGAAUUGCGGGGGAGCACCACAACGGGUGGAGCCUGCGGUUUAAUUGGACUCAACGCCGGGAAGCUCACCGGAUAAGACAGCGGAAUGAUUGCCGGGCUGAAGACCCUGCAUGACCAGCUG